rnacentral:rRNA from 1 species
CCUACGGGUGGCAGCAGUGGGGAAUAUUGGACAAUGGGGGCAACCCUUAUCCAGCCAUGCCGCGUGUGUGAAGAAGGCCCUCGGGUUGUAAAGCACUUUCAGUGAGGAAGAACGCCUGGUGGUUAAUACCCAUCAGGAAAGACAUCACUCACAGAAGAAGCACCGGCUAACUCCGUGCCAGCAGCCGCGGUAAUACGGAGGGUGCGAGCGUUAAUCGGAAUUACUGGGCGUAAAGCGCGCGUAGGUGGCUUGAUAAGCCGGUUGUGAAAGCCCCGGGCUCAACCUGGGAACGGCAUCCGGAACUGUCAAGCUAGGGUGCAGGAGAGGAAGGUAGAAUUCCCGGUGUAGCGGUGAAAUGCGUAGAGAUCGGGAGGAAUACCAGUGGCGAAGGCGGCCUUCUGGACUGACACUGACACUGAGGUGCGAAAGCGUGGGUAGCAAACAGGAUUAGAUACCCGGGUAGUC